rnacentral:rRNA from 1 species
GACGAACGCUGGCGACGUGCUUAACACAUGCAAGUCGAACGGAAAGGCCCUGCUUUUGUGGGGUGCUCGAGUGGCGAACGGGUGAGUAACACGUGAGUAACCUGCCCUUGACUUUGGGAUAACUUCAGGAAACUGGGGCUAAUACCGGAUAGGAGCUCCUGCUGCAUGGUGGGGUUUGGAAAGUUUCGGCGGUUGGGGAUGGACUCGCGGCUUAUCAGCUUGUUGGUGGGGUAGUGGCUUACCAAGGCUUUGACGGGUAGCCGGCCUGAGAGGGUGACCGGCCACAUUGGGACUGAGAUACGGCCCAGACUCCUACGGGAGGCAGCAGUGGGGAAUAUUGCACAAUGGGCGGAAGCCUGAUGCAGCAACACCGCGUGCGGGAUGACGGCCUUCGGGUUGUAAACCGCUUUCGCCUGUGACGAAGCGUGAGUGACGGUAAUGGGUAAAGAAGCACCGGCUAACUACGUG